AUUCAGUGAUCAUCGAAUUUUUGAACGCAUCUUGCGCUCCUUGGUAUUCCGAGGAGCAUGCCUGUUUGAGUGUCAAUA
rnacentral:rRNA from 1 species